rnacentral:rRNA from 1 species
CUUUACUGUAACUUGGCAUUGAAUUUUGGAUUUAACUGUCUAGGAUAGGUAGGAGACAUUGAAAUCAGAUCGCCAGAUCUGGUGGAGUCGUCCUUGGAAUACUACCCUGUUGAAUCUAGGAUUCUAACCUAGAGCCGUAAGCCGGCUCAGGGACAAUGUCUGGUGGGCAGUUUGACUGGGGCGGUCGCCUCCCAAAUUGUAACGGAGGCGUACGAAGGUUCCCUCAGGCUGAUUGGAAACCAGCCGAAGAGUGCAAAGGCAUAAGGGAGCUUAACUGCGAGACCGACAGGUCGAGCAGAUGCGAAAGCAGGUCUUAGUGAUCCGGUGGUUCCGAGUGGAAGGGCCAUCGCUUAACGGAUAAAAGGUA